rnacentral:rRNA from 1 species
CUCACAAGAGGUAUCGGGAAAGUUUUUCGCUAUAGGAUGAGGCUGCGGCCUAUCAGCUAGUUGGGGAGGUAACGGCUCACCAAGGCUAUGACAGGUAGCUGGUCUGAGAGGAUGAUCAGCCACACUGGAACUGAGACACGGUCCAGACUCCUACGGGAGGCAGCAGUGGGGAAUUUUACACAAUGGGCGAAAGCCUGAUGUAGCAACGCCGCGUGGAGGAUGACGGAUUUAGGUCUGUAAACUCCUUUUAUAGGGGAAGAAAUUUGACGGUACCCUAUGAAUAAGCGCCGGCUAACUCCGUGCCAGCAGCCGCGGUAAUACGGGGGGCGCAAGCGUUACUCGGAAUCACUGGGCGUAAAGGGAGCGUAGGCGUUCUAUUAAGUCUCGAGUGAAAUCCCGCAGCCUAACUGCGGAACUGCUCGGGAAACUGAUAGAAUAGAGUAUGGAAGAGGUAGGUGGAAUUUCCAGUGUAGGGGUAAAAUCCGUAGAUAUUGGAAGGAAUACCAGAAGCGA